AGUAAUUUUAUAGAAUGACGUCAAGAGGUGAAAAAUUCUUCGAAUUGGAUGGAUUGUUUUCAGAGAUUUAAAAACGAUCGUUUAUUUUUUAUACAUGUCGAGCAAAAACUGACAUUAAAUAAUAAUUCUAAUGAUUUUUAAUGGUAAUAAAGAGUGUCAUUAUCAAAUAUGAUUUAUUUUAUCGCUUAAAAUAUUCAUUUCAUUUUAAACUUCAUCUGAAAAAUUAUUAUUUUUUUAAUGUCACAUUUGUGAACAGUGUUUUUCUAUCAUCAAUCAUUAGAAAUUAUUCAAAAAUGUCAUUCAUACAAAAUUUAAACGUGAUUGCAGCUGUCAUGCUUCUUCAUUAAAUUAACUACUUAAAGUCUUCUAUAAUCGAUCCGAUACAGUUAAUUAGUAAUGAACAAUAAUGAUUUGUAUCCAAAUUUUAAAAAUUGCACAACAAUAACGAAUAUAUUAAUAUAUUAGUAUAUUUCUUCUUCUCGCUAUAUAUUCGAUCGAUAGACAGAAACGAGAGCUUUUUUAUUGAUUUUUCCGGAAACAAAAUUUUGAAGUUUUAUAAAUAAAUUUUAGUUAAAAUUUAAAAAAAAAAUUACCGAGAAUAUAACGCAUAAAUCUUCUAGAAGUUACACACGGAUCCGGUUAUUAUAGAGGAUAAUUUUAAUUCAGGAAAACCUCAAAUUAACUGGUUAAUGUUAUUGACAUGAUUGCGUAUUAAUAUUCAUCAAAGUUUAGUCAUUUAUCGUCAAUUUUCCGUUAACAUUGCGAGUUGCUAUUAUCGAGUAUGAAGCAAAUCUUCGCCUCCCAAUAGCGUACACCCCCUUACUGGACAUGGAACUAUCUGCAGGCUGAACCUAUCUGGUGACGUUUCGAAGUGGACAUUUCACAAACUAAACGCUGGAUUUGAGAGUAGCAUAUCUGUCAAAGUAAAGUCUACAAUCAUCAAAUUAUGUAAACAAUCUUCUUUACUUAAGUUAAACAGUUAUGGAAUAUCAUAAAUGAACAUACUCUUGUGUUACGAAAUACGAGUGUUUGACAGUAAAACGGAUUAUGAGAUUGUUUCAUAUUAAUCCACGUGAGAGACGCGCAUCUAGAGAAAGAAAUUCAAACGGAUCCUCCACGAUGUCAAGAUUAUCCUCAAAUAGUCCUCGUCCGUCUGUAGACGGUUUGUUAGCCCCAACAUUUCCAUCGAGACCAAGAUCUAUGUCUGUUGCUUUCAGUCAAGAUGCAACAGAAGGCGAUUCUUCAUAUCGAAGAUUGCGUUCGCAUUCUGUUUGCCCUCAGUCUCAAAGAACACCAAGAAAAUCAUUAGCGAGAAUGGACGAAGAAGAUUCUUUUCGUGGUUUUACCAUCAAAUUGUACGUCAUAUUAGGAACUUUGUGCACAGCUAUGGCUGGAUUUGUGAUAUAUGCAUAUCUGUACAAUACUGGGAAAUAUCAUUAGAAGAUACUGUAUACAUAUGAAAUUCACAUAUUGUAUAAAAGUCUGGUAAUUGUGCAAUGUUUUAUAUUUAUUUAUAGUUAUGCACUUGCAUAGUUGUUAAGCUCGGAGAUAUUUUUAUGUAAAAAAUAUAUUCGAAUUUUUAUUUACACAUUCAUUUUUGCAAACAUUUCCGCGCUUUUUUGUAAAUAGGUAUAUUCCUAUGAAAUGUGUAAUAUAUGUAGAUAACAAGAAAUGUUGAAAUAUUUAUAAUACGAUAAUUGUUCAGAAAAGGUUUCACGUUGCUCAAAUGUUUAAAGUAUAUAUAUAUAUAUUGUAAUGGUAUAUAAUUAUUUGAAUAUAUGAUAUUGUUGCAUAAACUAUUUAUCUAUUAAAUCGUGCAGAUGAUUAAUUUUAUAUUUAAAUUAUUAAUAAUAAAUGAACAAUGCAUACGUACCGUUUAAAAUUUCGCGGAAUUAAACAAUACUCGUUAUUAAUAUAAUAUAUAUAAUAUCGGUUUCCUAUACCACAAACCGUUUUGUAUAACGAAAAGUCAAAACAGGAUUAAAUUUGAGUUGAAAGUGCGAAAAUCAUGUUUAUGGAUAACAAUUUGAUAUCCGUGGUGUUUUUGUUAUUAGAUAAAAAAAUGUAUAUGUUAAACAUAUUUUGGCUUCAUAGGAUUUAUCUGCUUGAUGGUGUUAUUGUCAAAAAUAAAAAAAAUUAAUUUAAAAAUAUUCGCAUUUUUAAGGGUUUAUUGGAGUAUGUUGGAUUGAACCGGUCAGUGAAGAUAAAUAAAAUUAAACAUUUUAAUUUUGAAGCAUUUUUAUUCAAAAUUUUGUUUUUUAAUCGACGAAAUCGUUAUUUAACGAGGAAAUAACUUUAAUUAUGAAUAAAACCAGUGUAAGAUGUAAUCAAAGUAUAAUAUUUCCAAAAUCCAAAUCGUUCCAAAUAUAUAUUGUUCCAAAGAAGAUGAUUUUGGAAUAUUACAUAAAGCAGCACUCUCACGUUACAUUUAUAUUUUAAUGUCUUCGCUUCGUAUUAUUAUCGUCUAUAUUAUUCUUUUUUUUAUUUUCAUGCAAAUUUUUACGAGU